GAGUUUGAUCAUGGCUCAGAUUGAACGCUGGCGGCAGGCUUAACACAGCAAGUCGAGCGGGGAGAUGUAGCUUGCUACAUUUCCUAGCGGCGGACGGGUGAGUAAUGCUUAGGAAUCUGCCUAUUAGUGGGGGACAACAUUCCGAAAGGAAUGCUAAUACCGCAUACGCCCUACGGGGGAAAGCAGGGGAUCUUCGGACCUUGCGCUAAUAGAUGAGCCUAAGUCAGAUUAGCUAGUUGGUGGGGUAAAGGCCUACCAAGGCGACGAUCUGUAGCGGGUCUGAGAGGAUGAUCCGCCACACUGGGACUGAGACACGGCCCAGACUCCUACGGGAGGCAGCAGUGGGGAAUAUUGGACAAUGGGCGAAAGCCUGAUCCAGCCAUGCCGCGUGUGUGAAGAAGGCCUUUUGGUUGUAAAGCACUUUAAGCGAGGAGGAGGCUACUUAGAUUAAUACUCUGGGAUAGUGGACGUUACUCGCAGAAUAAGCACCGGCUAACUCUGUGCCAGCAGCCGCGGUAAUAC
rnacentral:rRNA from 1 species